UCCUUCGUGGUCCAGUCAUUAGGACUCUGCGCUUUCACUGCUGAGGGUGCAGGAUCAAUCCCUGAUCAAGGAA
rfam:TPA: Bos taurus chromosome 14, whole genome shotgun sequence.